rnacentral:rRNA from 1 species
UACGGAGGGUGCAAGCGUUAUCCGGAUUCACUGGGUUUAAAGGGUGCGUAGGCGGGCAUGUAAGUCAGUGGUGAAAUCUCAAAGCUUAACUUUGAAACUGCCAUUGAUACUAUGUGUCUUGAAUUUCCUGGAGGUUAGCGGAAUAUGUCAUGUAGCGGUGAAAUGCUUAGAUAUGACAUAGAACACCGAUUGCGAAGGCAGCUGACUAUAGGUAGAUUGACGCUGAUGCACGAAAGUGCGGGUAUCAAACAGG